AGAGUUUGAUCCUGGCUCAGGAUGAACGCUGGCGGCGUGCUUAACACAUGCAAGUCGAACGAAGCAUAUAAGACGGAUUACUUCGGUUUGAAGUCUUUUAUGACUGAGUGGCGGACGGGUGAGUAACGCGUGGGUAACCUGCCUCAUACAGGGGGAUAGCAGCUGGAAACGGCUGGUAAUACCGCAUAAGCGCACAGUACCACAUGGUACAGUGUGAAAAACUCCGGUGGUAUGAGAUGGACCCGCGUCUGAUUAGCUGGUUGGUGAGGUAACGGCCCACCAAGGCGACGAUCAGUAGCCGACCUGAGAGGGUGACCGGCCACAUUGGGACUGAGACACGGCCCAGACUCCUACGGGAGGCAGCAGUGGGGAAUAUUGCACAAUGGAGGAAACUCUGAUGCAGCGACGCCGCGUGAGUGAAGAAGUAAUUCGUUAUGUAAAGCUCUAUCAGCAGGGAAGAUAGUGACGGUACCUGACUAAGAAGCUCCGGCUAAAUACGUGCCAGCAGCCGCGGUAAUACGUAUGGAGCAAGCGUUAUCCGGAUUUACUGGGUGUAAAGGGAGUGUAGGUGGCCAGGCAAGUCAGAAGUGAAAGCCCGGGGCUCAACCCCGGGACUGCUUUUGAAACUGCAGGGCUAGAGUGCAGGAGGGGCAAGUGGAAUUCCUAGUGUAGCGGUGAAAUGCGUAGAUAUUAGGAGGAACACCAGUGGCGAAGGCGGCUUACUGGACGAUAACUGACGCUGAGGCUCGAAAGCGUGGGGAGCAAACAGGAUUAGAUACCCUGGUAGUCCACGCC
rnacentral:rRNA from 1 species